rnacentral:ncRNA from 1 species
UUAGAGGUUUUUUUUAAAACCAUACUAGAUUAUAUGAUUGGUUAACU